rnacentral:rRNA from 1 species
AUGAACGGCUAGCGGCAGGCCUAACACAUGCAAGGUCGAGGGGCAGCACAGGUAGCAAUACUGGGUGGCGACCGGCGGAUGGGUGCGUAACGCGUAUGCAACCUACCAUUGAUUGGGGCAUAGCCCGAAGAAAUUCGGAUUAAUACUCCAUAAUAUUCAUCAAAGGCAUCUUUUAUGAAUUAAAGCUUUUGCGAUCAAUGAUGGGCAUGCGUGACAUUAGUUAGUUGGUGAGGUAACGGCUCACCAAAACGAUGAUGUCUAGGGGUUCUGAGAGGAUUAUCCCCCACACUGGUACUGAGACACGGACCAGACUCCUACGGGAGGCAGCAGUGAGGAAUAUUGGUCAAUGGACGCAAGUCUGAACCAGCCAUGCCGCGUGCAGGAUGACGGCCCUAUGGGUUGUAAACUGCUUUUCCACGGGAAGAACCCUCCGACGUGUCGGAGACUGACGGUACCGUGGGAAUAAGCAUCGGCUAACUCCGUG